rnacentral:piRNA from 1 species
UGCUGCAGCCUCUAAUAGUCU